UAGGGAAUCUUCCACAAUGGGCGAAAGCCUGACGGAGCAACGCCGCGUGAGUGAUGAAGGUCUUCGGAUCGUAAAACUCUGUUAUUAGGGAAGAACAAAUGUGUAAGUAACUAUGCACGUCUUGACGGUACCUAAUCAGAAAGCCACGGCUAACUACGUGCCAGCAGCCGCGGUAAUACGUAGGUGGCAAGCGUUAUCCGGAAUUAUUGGGCGUAAAGCGCGCGUAGGCGGUUUUUUAAGUCUGAUGUGAAAGCCCACGGCUCAACCGUGGAGGGUCAUUGGAAACUGGAAAACUUGAGUGCAGAAGAGGAAAGUGGAAUUCCAUGUGUAGCGGUGAAAUGCGCAGAGAUAUGGAGGAACACCAGUGGCGAAGGCGACUUUCUGGUCUGUAACUGACGCUGAUGUGCGAAAGCGUGGGGAUCAAACAGG
rnacentral:rRNA from 1 species